AUCAACUUUCGAUGGUGGGAUAGAGGCCUACCAUGGUUUUAACGGGUAACGGGGAAUUAGGGUUCGAUUCCGGAGAGGGAGCCUGAGAAACGGCUACCACAUCCAAGGAAGGCAGCAGGCGCGCAAAUUACCCGAUCCCGACACGGGGAGGUAGUGACAAUAAAUAACAAUACAGGGCUCUUACGGGUCUUGUAAUUGGAAUGAGUACAAUUUAAAUCCCUUAACGAGGAACAAUUGGAGGGCAAGUCUGGCGCCAGCAGCCGCGGUAAUUCCAGCUCCAAUAGCGUAUAUUAAAGUUGUUGCAGUUAAAAAGCUCGUAGUUGAAUUUCGGGGUUCUACCGUCGGUCGGGCUAACAAGUCUGUACUGGUGUGUAGAAUUUCUACCUUCUGGGGAACUAUCAUGUUAUUAAUUUAGCGUGGUGGGAAACCAGGACCUUUACCUUGAAAAAAUUAGAGUGUUCAAAGCAGGCUUACGUCUGAAUACAUUAGCAUGGAAUAAUAGAAUAGGACGGUGGUCCUGUUUUGUUGGUUUCUGAAUCACCGUAAUGAUUAAUAGGGAUAGUUGGGGGCAUUAGUAUUCAAUUGUCAGAGGUGAAAUUCUUGGAUUUAUUGAAGACUAACUUCUGCGAAAGCAUUUGCCAAGGAUGUUUUCAUUAAUCAAGAACGAAAGUUAGGGGAUCGAAGACGGUCAGAUACCGUCGUAGUCUUAACCAUAAACUAUGCCGACUAGGGAUCGGACGAUGUUAACCUUUAUUGACUCGUUCGGCGCCUUACGGGAAACCAAAGUGUUUGGGUUC
rnacentral:rRNA from 1 species